GGGUGAGUAACGCGUGGGAAUAUGCCCUUUGGUACGGAAUAGCCUCGGGAAACUGAGAGUAAUACCGUAUGUGUCCUCUGAUCGUGGUGGUUGGAGGAGAAAGAUUUAUCGCCAAAGGAUUAGCCCGCGUUGGAUUAGAUAGUUGGUGGGGUAAUGGCCUACCAAGUCUACGAUCCAUAGCUGGUUUGAGAGGAUGAUCAGCCACACUGGGACUGAGACACGGCCCAGACUCCUACGGGAGGCAGCAGUGGGGAAUCUUAGACAAUGGGGGCAACCCUGAUCUAGCCAUGCCGCGUGAUCGAUGAAGGCCUUAGGGUUGUAAAGAUCUUUCAGUUGGGAAGAUAAUGACGGUACCAACAGAAGAAGCCCCGGCUAACUCCGUGCCAGCAGCCGCGGUAAUACGGAGGGGGCUAGCGUUAUUCGGAAUUACUGGGCGUAAAGCGCACGUAGGCGGACUGGAAAGUUAGAGGUGAAAUCCCAGGGCUCAACCUUGGAACUGCCUUUAAAACUAUCAGUCUAGAGAUCGAGAGAGGUGAGUGGAAUUCCGAGUGUAGAGGUGAAAUUCGUAGAUAUUCGGAGGAACACCAGUGGCGAAGGCGGCUCACUGGCUCGAUACUGACGCUGAGGUGCGAAAGCGUGGGGAGCAAAC
rnacentral:rRNA from 1 species